GACGGAGGGUGCUAGCGUUGUUCGGAAUGACUGGGCGUAAAGGGCGCGUAGGCGACUGUCUAAGUCGGGUGUGAAAGCCCCGGGCUCAACCUGGGAACUGCAUUCGAUACUGGACGGCUAGAGUAUGAGAGAGGGAGGUAGAAUUCCACGUGUAGCGGUGAAAUGCGUAGAUAUGUGGAGGAAUACCGGUGGCGAAGGCGGCCUCCUGGUUCAAUACUGACGCUGAGGUGCGAAAGCGUGGGGAGCAAACAGG
rnacentral:rRNA from 1 species